UAGAGUAACGCGUGAGGAACCUGCCUCAAAGAGGGGGACAACAGUUGGAAACGACUGCUAAUACCGCAUAAGCCCACGGCUCGGCAUCGAGCAGAGGGAAAAGGAGUGAUCCGCUUUGAGAUGGCCUCGCGUCCGAUUAGCUAGUUGGUGAGGUAACGGCCCACCAAGGCAACGAUCGGUAGCCGGACUGAGAGGUUGAACGGCCACAUUGGGACUGAGACACGGCCCAG
rnacentral:rRNA from 1 species